GUACACAAAGUCGACUCCCGUAGCGAAGGAUCCCUUUGCUGUCAAAUCUGAACUCUGCACUGUUGCCUGACUGAACAGUCCUGGCAAUUUUCAUCAACUCAGGGUCCUCAUGCUGUCUCUGAGCUAUCUGCUCCAGAAACACAGGUGUCACUCUCAUCUGUGCUAUCAAUGCACCUGUACCAGACAACUCUAACUGUAAC
rnacentral:lncRNA from 1 species